AAGGUCGCAGAAAAUUAAUCUACCAAAGACGUAAAUGAUGAAAACUCGGAAAGUUCCGCCAAAGCCAUCUCAGUACCUAACACAGUGUUUUCACUUUGACAACUGUGUGGGUAAAGCUUAGAUAAAUACUCACGGGAGUGCAAACACCUGCAAACUACUUCUGAGAUGAAUGAAUAAAUCCUUAAACUCAUAAUUUUCACAGCUAUCACACACUUUGCGUUUAAAUGGGCGGAUAAUGUGUGGGGAAAGCAGCUAAAGAAGGACUUGAUGUCCUCUAUCCCACAGUUAUUAGGUGAAGUAAUGAAAACCCAUUUCCUCUUGCAAUUACGCGAGAUGCUGUAGGGCUAGUGGAAGCAGGAAAAGCAUUAGUACCGAAGGGCAGGGGUUCGAGUGACACGAUUCGGGUAACAUAGAUAUUGAGGUCAGGCUGUCUUUGUGCAGACCCAUUAAACUGACAAAUUCAGGGUCCACACCUGACGUGGCCUUUUCCCAUAGGAGGUGGCCCACGCUUUGACUAAAGGGACUUGAUCAACAAAGUGUCUCAGCAACACAGACACACAGAAAAGGUGUCAACAGCCCGUAACCCAGCCUCUCCUCAAAAAGUCAGCAAAUAUGGCCAAAUGAGAAAACGCAAAGGAUCCAUGGGUUGUGAGUCUAUCCAAAUUCCAGUACAGAAGAGAACAUUGGUGGUUGGGGGACAGUUACCAUGUCUAGCUAUAAAACCAGAUUUUAACCUGGAGGUUACGGACAGAUUAUAAAAUGUUAACAGCUGGAGAAUCUGCAAAAGAUGCGUAUCUACACAUGGAAAGGUUACAGUUAAGAACUGCUACAACACUGUCUGUUGGCAUUUAGUGAAAUCUUUCCCUGAUCCAGAGGUCUGCACGGUGGGGAAAAAAAAAAAAAAAGGAAAAAACCUGCUCUACGGAGCUUUUUAUUUCUCCCUAAACAAAUGAUCAAAAUCAACCCACCCAACCCAACUCUGCUUGACCGUCCUCGUGGCAGAGACGCACCUCUUCGCAUACCCAGCAACUGAAAAGAAGCAGGUUUUCUGCCCAUCAGUGGUGUCCAUCAGGUAUUUACCUGGCUCUUUCAGCUUCUCGAUGUUUCCACACAGUGAUACAGCAAAGGGUCUUUUUUUUUUUUUUUUUUUUUUUU
rnacentral:lncRNA from 1 species